UACGUAGGGGGCAAGCGUUGUCCGGAAUUAUUGGGCGUAAAGAGCUCGUAGGCGGUUUGUUGCGUCGGCUGUGAAAUCCCGAGGCUCAACCUCGGGUCUGCAGUCGAUACGAGCAAACUAGAGUGUUGCAGGGGAGACUGGAAUUCCUGGUGUAGCGGUGAAAUGCGCAGAUAUCAGGAAGAACACCAAUGGCGAAGGCAGCUCUCUGGGACGGUACUGACGCUGAGACGCGAAAGCGUGGGGAGCGAACAGG
rnacentral:rRNA from 1 species